ACAGCAGUCGCCGCGGGAAUACGUAGGUGGCAAGCGUUGUCCGGAAUUAUUGGGCGUAAAGGGCUCGCAGGCGGUUUCUUAAGUCUGAUGUGAAAGCCCCCGGCUCAACCGGGGAGGGUCAUUGGAAACUGGGAAACUUGAGUGCAGAAGAGGAGAGUGGAAUUCCGCGUGUAGCGGUGAAAUGCGUAGAGAUGUGGAGGAACACCAGUGGCGAAGGCGACUCUCUGGUCUGUAACUGACGCUGAGGAGCGAAAGCGUGGGGAGCGAACAGGAUUAGAUACCCGGGUAGUCCCUGUCUCUUAUAC
rnacentral:rRNA from 1 species